CCUACGGGAGGCAGCAGUAGGGAAUCUUUCACAAUGGGCGAAAGCCUGAUGGAGCAACGCCGCGUGCAGGAUGAAGGCCUUCGGGUUGUAAACUGCUUUUAUAAGCGAGAAAUAUGAUGGUAACUUAUGAAUAAGGAUCGGCUAACUACGUGCCAGCAGCCGCGGUCAUACGUAGGAUCCGAGCAUUAUCCGGAGUAACUGGGUGUAAAGAGUUGCGUAGGUGGCAUAAUAAGUAGCUAGUGAAAUCUGGUGGCUCAACCAUUCAGACUAUUAGCUAAACUGUUAAGCUCGAGACCGUUAGGGGUAACUGGAAUUGCUAGUGUAGCGGUGAAAUGCGUAGAUAUUAGGAGGAACACCGGCGGCGAAGGCGGCCUGCUGGACCGCGACUGACGUUGAGGCUCGAAAGCGUGGGGAGCGAACAGGAUUAGAUACCCUGGUAGUC
rnacentral:rRNA from 1 species